ACGUAGGUGGCAAGCGUUGUCCGGAAUCAUUGGGCGUAAAGAGCGCGUAGGUGGCUUGUCAGGUCUGGUGUGAAAUUUCGGGGCUCAACCCCGAACCUGCAUCGGAAACCGGCUUGCUAGAGUCUGGGAGAGGAGAGUGGAAUUCCUGGUGUAGCGGUGAAAUGCGUAGAUAUCAGGAGGAACACCGGUAGCGAAGGCGGCUCUCUGGAACAGUACUGACGCUGAGGCGCGAAAGCUAGGGGAGCGAACAG
rnacentral:rRNA from 1 species